rnacentral:rRNA from 1 species
AUUGAACGCUGGCGGCAGGCCUAACACAUGCAAGUCGAGCGAGCGGCGGACGGGUGAGUAAUGUCUGGGAAACUGCCUGAUGGAGGGGGAUAACUACUGGAAACGGUAGCUAAUACCGCAUACCAUCUGAUUUGCCCAGAUGGGAUUAGCUAGUGGGUGGGGUAACGGCUCACCUAGGCGACGAUCCCUCGCUGGUCUGCGAGGAUGACCAGCCACACUGGAACGGAGACACGGUCCAGACUCCGACGGGAGGCAGCAGUGGGGAAUAUUGCACAAGGGGCGCAAGCCGGAUGCAGACAUGCCGCGUGGGUGAAGAAGGCCUUCGGGUUGUAAAGCACUUUCAGCGGGGAGGCGUUACCCGCAGAAGAAGCACCGGCUAACUCCGUGCCAGCCGCCGCGGUAAUUC